AAACAUUCUGAUGUGGUGAUCCACACAUUCAGACAAUCAUAUUUUAGAAGUCAGCCUGGCUUAGGGGCAGGGGGCAUGGGAAAGAGUUUCUGGGGAGACCUUUCACCUUGAGGACCUGGGAAUGGUACAGGCUAGCAGGUGUGAAUGAAGACUCCCUUGGAUUAAUUACAAGGAAUCCUGUGUCUCUGUGGUCCUCCAUGACUUGGCAUCCAUCAGUCCCUCCCUGCUGCCAUGAUGUAGAACGUGGCUGUCAGGUCCAGUAUGAACAAGCUACUUUCUGGUGAGGAAGCAGACUCAAGAAGAUUAAUAACUUGCCCAAAGUUGCAGCGGUGGAGAGGCAGCCUAGAGAUCCAGCUGCCAAUCUGCCAGAUCCCAAAGCUCCUCUCCUGCUUGACCUCCAUGUCCACGUGCUGGGACAGUGGGCAGGGAAGGCUGUGUCAGUUUCUGGAUCAGAUCUUGGAGGUGAGCUUCUCACGAACAGGGCUUCCUGGAACCUGUAGUUUUGUGCAAGUCACACCAAAUGGUGUGAAACCAAAGCAUCAGCCGGUGGAAACAACUCUAGCCCAGAAAAAGCUGACUGAGCCCAAGAGCCCCCAAAGCCAAUCUAGUCACUGUUCUGAAAAAAAAAAAAAAAGAAAAAAAAAGAAAUAUAUCAAUCCCCCCUUGCUCCUAAAGGAGGUAUUAAAUACAUGAAACAUCAU
rnacentral:lncRNA from 1 species